rnacentral:rRNA from 1 species
GACGAACGCUGGCGGCGUGCCUAAUACAUGCAAGUCGAACGCUUCUUUCCUCCCGAGUGCUUGCACUCAAUUGGAAAGAGGAGUGGCGGACGGGUGAGUAACACGUGGGUAACCUACCCAUCAGAGGGGGAUAACACUUGGAAACAGGUGCUAAUACCGCAUAACAGUUUAUGCCGCAUGGCAUAAGAGUGAAAGGCGCUUUCGGGUGUCGCUGAUGGAUGGACCCGCGGUGCAUUAGCUAGUUGGUGAGGUAACGGCUCACCAAGGCCACGAUGCAUAGCCGACCUGAGAGGGUGAUCGGCCACACUGGGACUGAGACACGGCCCAGACUCCUACGGGAGGCAGCAGUAGGGAAUCUUCGGCAAUGGACGAAAGUCUGACCGAGCAACGCCGCGUGAGUGAAGAAGGUUUUCGGAUCGUAAAACUCUGUUGUUAGAGAAGAACAAGGACGUUAGUAACUGAACGUCCCCUGACGGUAUCUAACCAGAAAGCCACGGCUAACUACGUGCCAGCAGCCGCGGUAAUACGUAGGUGGCAAGCGUUGUCCGGAUUUAUUGGGCGUAAAGCGAGCGCAGGCGGUUUCUUAAGUCUGAUGUGAAAGCCCCCGGCUCAACCGGGGAGGGUCAUUGGAAACUGGGAGACUUGAGUGCAGAAGAGGAGAGUGGAAUUCCAUGUGUAGCGGUGAAAUGCGUAGAUAUAUGGAGGAACACCAGUGGCGAAGGCG